rnacentral:rRNA from 1 species
AAGUCGUAACAAGGUUUCCGUAGGUGAACCUGCGGAAGGAUCAUUACCGAACUGUCGACACGAGCUGUUGCUGGCCCCCGAAAGGGGACACGUGCACGCUCUGUUUACACAUCCACUCACACCUGUGCACCCUCUGUAGUUCUAUGGCCUUGGGGACCCUGUCCCCUUGCUGUGGUCCUACGUCUUUACACACACACAUCGUAACAAAGUCUCAUGGAAUGUAUGUCGCGUUUAACGCAAUACAAUACAACUUUCAGCAACGGAUCUCUUGGCUCUCGCAUCGAUGAAGAACGCAGCGAAGUGCGAUAAGUAAUGUGAAUUGCAGAAUUCAGUGAAUCAUCGAAUCUUUGAACGCACCUUGCGCCCUUUGGCUAUUCUGAAGGGCAUGCCUGUUUGAGUAUCAUGAACACCUCAACUCUCAUGGUCCGCCAUGAUGAGCUUGGACUUUGGGGGUCUUGCCGGCCUAGCGUCGGCUCCUCUCAAAUGGAUCAGCUUCCCAGUGUUUGGUGGCGUCACAGGUGUGAUAACUAUCUACGCUUGUGGUUUCCUGCCAUUAACCUUCAGCAAUGGAGGUUCGCUGGAGCUCACAGAUGUCUCUCCUUGGGGAGGACAGCUUUUGAAUGUCUGAUCUCAAAUCAGGUAGGACUACCCGCUGAACUUAA